GCCCGGGUGGUCUAGUUGGCUAUGAUUCUCGCUUAGGGCCUUAACCCUAAGUAAUUGUAUGCGAGAGGUCCCGCGUUCGAAUCGCGGCUCGGGCC
rnacentral:tRNA from 11 species